AAUAAUUCAUUUUACUCAACUCACUUCCAGAAGCAUAUAAAGAAGUCAAGAUGGCUCCCAAAUAUGGAAGGCAAAAAAUCACUACAGAUGAUGUAAUUUCAGCAAUAAAAACCAAAGAAUAAGAGUUAAAUUAGCAAAGAAGAGAUCAAACAAAUAGUGAAGGAUUGUUCUGAAAAGGAAAAACCAAAAGUAACUCAAAAGAAUCAAGAAUCAGAAGAAUAAAGAAAAAAUUGAAUUCACAUUUUGCCACAAAAAGGACACCUCAGAAAAGAUUGUUUCUUUCUAAAAAUAAAGCAAAAUGAAAAUAAACAAAAAGAAAAAUAACAAGAAGAACCUAAGGCAGAAGCAUCGUAGUAGAUCAAGUCCGGUUUGUGUAUUCAAAUACCUUAACUAUUUCAGAAAAUUCAAUUCAAACAAAGGGUAAUAAAGAAACUCAUGAUUGAGUUCAUGAUUCAAGGUGCUCUUUCUAUAUGACACCAUUAAAGAGAUGGUUUACAACAUACAAAGUUUAGGAUGGAGGCCUAGUAUACAUUGAAAAUGACAAUGUUUGCAAGAUUGUAGGCACUUGGUUUGUUACUCUUAAAUUCAAAGAUGGGACAACAACACACUUCUUAGGAAUGUGAGGCAUGUUCCAUCCUUGAAAAGAAAUUUAAUUUCCUUUGGUAUGCUAGACUCCAUAGGCUGUGAAUAUAAAGUUUCUGCAAGAAGGUUUGAAAUAUUUAAAGACUCAAAGAUCGUUCUUGUUGGUAUAAAAAUCAAUGGACUCUUUCUUAUCAAAGAAGUGUCCAUGAACCAUAUUGUCUUAAUUGUUUCUAAUGAUAAGCUAACCGAAGAGGAUUUGUGGCAUAAAAGACUUUCCCAUGUAAGUGGAAAGGGAUUGAAAAUAUUGUCAGAACAAGGGACUCUUCCUAAAGGAGUGGCUGAAAAGAUCUCUUUCUAUGAGCAUUGUGUAGUUGGAAAGUUCACAAGACAAAGCUUUCAUGUGGCUGAUCACAACACUAAAGAUAUCCUAUACUACAUUCAUUAUGAUCUAUGGGAACCCUCACAAAACACCAUCUUUAAAUAAUUUCAGAUAUUCUCUAACAUUUAUUGAUGAUUAUUCUAGAAAGAAUUGAGUUUAUUUCAUAAAAUCUAAAGGCCAAACUCUAGGAAAGUUUAAAGAAUGGAAAAUCAUGGUGGAAAACAAACUUCUAAACAAAUUAAAUGUCUAAGAACUGAUAAUGGUUUAGAAGUUGUAGUGAGGAUUUUAAUAAUUUUUGUAAAGAACAUGGAAUAAUAAGACAUAAGUCUGUUAGAUAUACUCCUCAACAAAAUGGUGUUGCUGAAAGAUUAAAUAGAACCAUAAUGGAUACAGUUAGAUGAUAAAUGUCUAAUGGUUUAAUUCCAUAAAAUUACUGUUUACACUCACUGUACCUAGUAAUUUAAGAUUCAAGUUCAAGCUAAGCGUUUAAAGGCUAAGGUUUAAGUUGAGCGUUUAAGGGCUAAGGUUUAAGCUGAGCGUUCAAGCGUGUCGCUCAGAGGCGCUAGGGUUGCUCAAGUCUCGUUCGCGUCUCACAACGUGAGGAUUAGGACGCUUUGCGGGAUGAGGCGUGACAAUUGACGUACAGUCGAGUACUUGACCUUUUUGGAAGUGUUUAAGUAUUUGAUUAUUUGACAUUGCAUAUAUGGCAACCAGCCCAAUUUAUGUAGUAGUGAGAAUGAUUUUAGAGAGAUUUUAAAAUCCAUUGUGGGAAGAAGUAACUUAUCAUCGUUAAGAAAUAAGGAGACCAAAUUCAGUCCCAUUUAUGUUGAGGAUCAAAAGCCCAUGUGAUUUUCUUUGUUGCUUAUACAUCAAGCAUGAUAACCAAUAAGCAAGCUUGUCAUUGGCUAAAUUUCUCUUUAAAUUGACAUAAUUGGUGUAAAGAAUAUAUAUAUGUCGAAGCUUUUCUAAUUUAUUCUGUGUAUUCACUAAAAAUUUGCUGUCAAGUGUGGUUUUUUUGUUUUGUUUAUUGUGACUAUUUUCCUUUCAUGGAGAGUUUUGUGAUCUUUGCAACAGGAGCAUUUUUUUAGAAAGAAAACGGAUAGAAAUCAUUUCAGAGCAUCGUAAACUCUUGUACUAAACUGAUAGAAAUCAUUUCAAAGCAUUGUAAACUCUUGUACUAUUCUACCUGAUUAUCUUCUUAGUCGAACCGCAUCAAUGUGGGCUAUUAAUUUGCCAUGAUCUUCCUAAAUAGGCAGAAGAAUUAAGUUAUUUUUCUAUUUGUUGUUUUGGUUAUUUAUUGUCUUAAUUAUCUCCAAAGUUUUAGCAAGCACUAAGUUAGUGGGUUACUAACUUUUGCUUCCUUUUAGACUAUAAAUAUUAGUCCAUCAAAUUGAAUAAAUGCAAGAAGUUCCAUUUAAUUUUUCUCUCCCUCUUGGCAAUAUAUCUUACAAAGUAUUUAUCUUUGUUUUCUUCAAGAAGAGUGCGUGAGAUUUUACAGAUUCUUUGUUGUAAAACCAACAUUUGGUAUCAGAGCAGGUUGUCUUCUCAUCGCAUAUUCCAACGAAGAUGGCAAGCACCUCGCAGCAAACAAAGGAGAAUGGUGGAAUGUCGAUUCUCUACCCGAUGUUAACUCCACACAACUACACGGUGUGGACGAUAAAGGCAGAAGCAAUCCUCGAUGCCCAACGAUUUUGGGAAGCAAUAGAGCCAGCGAGAGGAGCCGAAGUGGAUGUGAAGAAAGACAAGAAGGCGUGUGCAUACAUUCUCCAAUGCAUCCCGGAAGAUGUGCAACAAAUCGCUAAGAAGAAGACCGCAAAGGAAAUAUGGGAUAGUCUCAAGACAAGGUACUUGGGUAGUGAAUGGGUUGAGAUGGCGAGAGUUCAAACCUUGAAGAGUGAGUUUAAUGUUAUUCGGAUGAAGGAAACCGAGACGAUCGAUGAGUUCGCAGGAAAAAUCAGCGAAUUAGCAAGCAAGUUUACCACCCUCGGAGUUGCACUUGAGGAUUCAUCAUUGGUCAAGAAGCUCCUCGAUUCCGUCCCCGACAAAUAUCUUCCCAUUUGAUAGAACUAAGUCAUGCACAGCGGAAAAAGAAUCGAAUUUCUACCCUAAUUGCCACAAUUAACAUGUAACCAUAAACUAAUCAAAUUAGGGUUUUAAGAAAUAUUACCUUUGAAGCUUUCAAAAGGUUUGAUAUCUUCUUACAAUUCUAACCGAGACCACCACUAGUACUCAACUGCUAUCCUCUAGACAAAGAACAGGGUUGUGAGACCCAAUUUUGGUGUAGAAAGUAAUGAAGAUAAAAUGGGAUUGGAAGGUUUCCUUUUUUUCUUUGGUUGAGAUGAUGAAAAUGAUAAAAGAGGCAAAAGUUCUUCAACAUUUGAAAACACUUCUAUUUAUAACCUAAUUAUACAAAAAUGCAUACAAUUCAUUUGCAAAUCUCAACACCUAAUCUUCCACUAACAAUUAGUGGAAC
rnacentral:lncRNA from 1 species